UGUGGAAUGGGAGCAGCACCAGAGACCCAGAAUUUCCAUGCAGAUAACCCCACCUCCCCACUGAUCCUGCAGGAUGUGUAGAGCCAACAAUGAAUGGGUACAAUACUGAAGGAACAGGUGUGUUUUCACUUGGAGAAAGCAGCAAGGGAUAUGAAAAUGACUUAGCAGCUGGUGAAUAAGAAGACUGAAGUUGUGCCAGACGAAGUGUGUGCAUGUUUUUUGUGCUUGUUUCCCCCACCCCUACUAAUUAUGCAAAAUCUCUAAUUCCAUUGAUCAUAUUGUUCUCUUCCUUCUUCAUCUAAAGAAUAAAUACAUGUUGUGUGACAACUUUCA